rnacentral:rRNA from 1 species
AUUGAACGCUGGCGGCAUGCUUUACACAUGCAAGUCGAACGGUAACAGGCCUUCGGGUGCUGACGAGUGGCGAACGGGUGAGUAAUGCAUCGGAACGUGCCCAAUCGUGGGGGAUAACGUAGCGAAAGUUACGCUAAUACCGCAUAAGCCCUGAGGGGGAAAGCAGGGGAUCGCAAGACCUUGCGCGAAUGGAGCGGCCGAUGUCAGAUUAGCUAGUUGGUGGGGUAAAGGCCUACCAAGGCGACGAUCUGUAGCGGGUCUGAGAGGAUGAUCAGCCACACUGGGACUGAGACACGGCCCAGACUCCUACGGGAGGCAGCAGUAGGGAAUAUUGGACAAUGGGGGCAACCCUGAUCCCGCCAUGCCGCGUGUGUGAAGAAGGCCUCGGUUGUAAGACACUUAAGUACGAGGAGGAAGGUUUUAGGUUUAAGUUAC